rnacentral:rRNA from 1 species
UCGAACGGGAUCCUGCGGGCUUUGCUUGCGGGUGAGAGUGGCGAACGGGUGAGUAAUGCGUGACCAACCUGCCCCAUGCUCCGGAAUAGCUCCUGGAAACGGGUGGUAAUGCCGGAUGCUCCCGCGCCCCGCAUGGGGUGUGGGGAAAGCUUUCGUGGCAUGGGAUGGGGUCGCGUCCUAUCAGCUUGUUGGCGGGGUGAGGGCCCACCAAGGCGUUGACGGGUAGCCGGCCUGAGAGGGCGACCGGCCACAUUGGGACUGAGAUACGGCCCAGACUCCUACGGGAGGCAGCAGUGGGGAAUAUUGCACAAUGGGCGCAAGCCUGAUGCAGCGACGCCGCGUGCGGGAUGGAGGCCUUCGGGUUGUAAACCGCUUUUGUUUGGGAGCAAGCCCUUCGGGGUGAGUGUACCUUUCGAAUAAGCACCGGCUAACUACGUGCCAGCAGCCGCGGUAAUACGUAGGGUGCGAGCGUUAUCCGGAAUUAUUGGGCGUAAAGGGCUCGUAGGCGGUUCGUCGCGUCCGGUGUGAAAGUCCAUCGCUUAACGGUGGAUCCGCGUCGGGUACGGGCGGGCUGGAGUGCGGUAGGGGAGACUGGAAUUCCCGGUGUAACGGUGGAAUGUGUAGAUAUCGGGAAGAACACCAAUGGCGAAGGCAGGUCUC